UAUUUCAGGCUGCUCCGCGAGGCUUUACAGGGGCUAAAAAUACGACACGUCAUAAUGGAGUUUGUCAUGCGGAGGAAGUUGUUCAGGCUCUGGAUGUCGGCUUGGUAAAUAUUCCGGCAUCGCGCGGGGACUUAGAGUUCAUACAUAAACGGAGCUCUGCAGCUGGGGGCAGCGAUGCGCUUCCCGUGCACCAGGCCACCGGAAAUUAAAAGAAGAAGAAGUCUAAACAGGACCGACUGUGUGUAUUCCUGGGCUUGUUCCAGGGAACAGAGAAUUGCCAAAAAAUGUUUGACGCACUCAUGAUAUCUCUCUCUGAGCCCUGUUUUCAGCACUUGUGGACCAAUAGCUUACGCCAUUUGAUUCAAGGGAAUGAAUAGAGGUCAUCUGAGUAGGCGGUCCUCCAUGUGGACCAGGACUCAUCCAUGGACACACUGCUCAAAGAAUGUGGCCAGAGACCACCACCUGUGAUCGGGUCAGCCGAGACCCAUGUUGAUGCCAGGUGUGAACAAAGUCAUCGGGCUAAAAGGUUUGCUCCAUGUGACAUUACGUAAUAAAAUGUAUCCGGGCACUUCUUAAAGCAAUAUCUCAGUAAUCCAAAUGACAGGCCUCCUACACCACGAGAACCUGAAGAGAACCUCUGGUAGUGGAGCGGUGACCUUGAGGAGAUUCACUCUUCUUCCAGGGUAGAUGUUGUGGAUGUGAACUCUUCAUACACACACACACACACACACACUGCUCUGGCUGAGGAGGAAGACCACCGGGGCCAAAUGAAACAAGUCCUCCACCCCCCCUGCCUGGUGCUCUCUAAGCCUCGGGGCCGUGUUUGAGGAGUCCAGUGUGUGGAAUGAGAAACCCGACUCCAGAAGGGACCGAGAUGCUGCUGCCGGGAACAGCUGCCUGAUAAAGACCUGAUUGAUCAGCGCUGAAGCCUAAACCGGCCGGUGGAGUGACUAGCCCUAACUCCUGACCUCUGACCCCUGCACUCUACAGGUCAAGCCCAGGGUCAGGCCAUUAUGUAAGAGGCUUGUUCCUCAGAGAAAGACUGAGAGGGAACAAACCAACCAGGGAUAGAACUCUUGCAUUGUCACUGAGACUUGCAGGAAUGUGCUCCUCAUAACUCCAGGGCACGAGCUGCACACACUGAAGGGUUUUUACCAAAUAUAGUUUCACCAAAUAUUUGGAUUAAAAAAUAAAUUUAAACGGAAUACAUUUGCAGAAACCCGAACCUCUACAAACAAAUAAGGGCAGAGGACGGGGGGAUCUGGUUUUCCUAAGAAGCUGGGUCAUGCCAGAAGAGAGGACGAGUAUCAGGCCGGUGGGUGGCGUGUAUUUAUUCAGGUAUUAAACGACAUCAGCACUUGAUUCAGUUUAAUAACAAACACUCUGCGGGGGCAUGUGGGCAGAGGGAAACUCUCAGUUUUACACAACAAUAAAAACAGCCAGCGCUCCGGGCUGCAGUCCUGUGAGGUGAUGGAGGCCGCAGCUUUACGACUCGAUUAGUGCCCAAUGUGGGCGCUAAUCUGUGAGUCCUCACUGGGCAACAGAAACCCCCAAGAACCUCAAAGGGAAACACACAGAAGCAUCAUCACACCAAACAUGACAUAUUAAAACCAUGCAACAACAUUUGGGUCUGAAAAGUGAAGCCAAUGUGAAACUUGCAUUCUCUCUCUGACCACCAGGGGGCGACUCCUCCGGUUGUAUAGAAGUCUAUGCUUCAUGUCAUACACUCUGUCACAUUCAUUGAAUGUAUUUUAACUCUAAAUCUGUCCUUCUGUACACAUUACAUCUAUUGCACCUGUCCAUCCUGGAGAGGGAUCCUCCUCUGUUGCUCUCCUGAAGGUUUCUUCCCUUUUUUUCCCCCUGAAGGGUUAUUUGGGAGUUUUUCCUGAUCCGAUGCGAGGUUUUGGGGCAGGGAUGUCUAUGUGUACAGAUUGUAAAGCACUCUGAGACAAAUUUGUAAUUUGUGAAAUUGGGCUAUACAAAUUAACUGAAUUGAAUUGAAUGUCUUAAAGCUGCAUUCUCUCUCUGACCACCAGGGGGCGACUCCUCUGGUUAAAUAGAAGUACAGGCUUCAUGUGUUAAAGCUGCAUUCUCUCUCUGACCACCAGGGGGCGACUCCUCCGGUUGUAUAGAAGUCUAUGCUUCAUGUCUUAAAGCUGCAUUCUCUCUACUGACCACCAGUGGACGACUCCUCCGGUUGUAUAGAAGUAUAUGCUUCAUGUCUUAAAGCUGCAUUAUCUCGACUGACCACCAGUGGGCGACUCCUCUGGUUGUAUAGAAGUCUAUAUAAAUGACUACAUCUCUCUUGAUUUAUUCCCUCAGUAAACAUUGUAAACAUGAAUUUAUGUCUCAAUCUCUAGUUUCAAGUCUCAUUCAAGACAGCAUGAUGUACAUUUAGUAAAUGAUGGUCAUCCCCUAAAGCAGGGGAUGCUUUAGGGGCGGGGCUACAAGGUGAUUGACAGGGUUGACACUCUUCAAAACGUUGAACUUUCAAAAACAUGAUGUCAGGACACUUACGUCCACUUACAGUCUAUGAUUUAAAACAAUGUAAUGUACAACAACUAAUAUUUCCAUGUAUAAACAACCACUUGUCAUAUUUCCAUCAUGUUUUCAUCUUUGUUUUCCAGUGAUAAGAGGGGAUUGUCCUCUUGAUAUGGCCUCUUCUUCUGCAAUGGCUCAACACUCCUGACUGAAGAAUUGACCCAACCAAACUCCUCAUAAUAUAAUAAUAAUGUGCUGACCACUGUAACACAUUGCAUGUUUAGGCACAUAAAGUGUUAAUGACGUUCCUUUGUUAUCAGGCUAUUAGCUUCCAGGAGGAUGUGAUCGAAUCCCUGUCUUAGUUUGAUCUGAUGUGUGUGUGUGUCCUUCCAGGUAGAGGAGGAAUGCAGGCCAGUGGGAACGUGUCUCAGGUGGCAAUACACACUGCGUGCUGCACAUCACAGUGCGCCGACCACACGCUAUCCACACGCUAUCCACAUGCGACCACAAGCACACGCAUCCAGCCUGCAAGGAGCUCAGCCCCGUGAUGUCCCGCCUCCUCGGCCUGUCUGUCAUCGUGAGAGGCUGAACCGACUCGUCUGUCAACGCAGAUAAAGGGCUAUUUAUCGGACCGCUGGGUUUUAAACAUGCCCUACAUACUUUAUAUGGAAAUGAUCGUGAUAGAUAGGCAUGACGGGGCACAUCCCCUGGAGAGAGAGAGAGAGAGAGAGAGAGAGAAAGCUGUCUAUCUCUCCAGAGUAAUUCAGUGGCACAUUAGACGAGACCACCUGACACUGUGGCACUUAUCCUGCCGCUAACUACCAUGUUUGGUGAACUACUAAACGCCAGCAAUUAUACUGCUGUCUGCUCACCCCACUGGGAUUACACAUGCCACCGGAGUGGACACACACACAC